GUCCACGCUGUAAACGAUGGAUACUAGGUGUGGGGGACUGACCCCUUCCGUGCCGCAGUUAACACAAUAAGUAUCCCACCUGGGGAGUACGAUCGCAAGGUUGAAACUCAAAGGAAUUGACGGGGGCCCGCACAAGCGGUGGAGUAUGUGGUUUAAUUCGAAGCAACGCGAAGAACCUUACCAGGGCUUGACAUGGAGAUGACCGGACUAGAGAUAGUCUUUCCCUUCGGGGCAUCUCACACAGGUGGUGCAUGGUUGUCGU
rnacentral:rRNA from 1 species